GGGGCUGAUUCUGGAUUCGACGGGAUUUGCGAAACCCAAGGUGCAUGCCGAGGGCGGUUGGCCUCGUAAAAAGCCGCAAAAAAUAGUCGCAAACGACGAAAACUACGCUUUAGCAGCUUAAUAACCUGCUCUGAGCCCUCUC
rnacentral:tmRNA from 1 species